rnacentral:rRNA from 1 species
AUGCCCUUGCGGUACCUUGGCCUUCCCCUGUCGGUCACUAGACUCAAGCGCAUACACUUUCAGUAUCUUGAAGACAAGAUUGCGGGCAAGCUGCCGCCUUGGUCGGCUAUGCAUGUUGCGACCCCUGGACGCAUUGUUUUGGUCAAAGCUGUCCUCACAGCCAUUGCGAUCUACCAUCUCACGCCGAUGGAGCUCCCUGCUGAGGUGUGGAAAAAGAUUGACAGCCUGCGACGUGCUUAUCUUUGGGCUGGCUGUGACAAUGUGUCUGGUGGAAAGUGUAAGGUUAAUUGGGAGCAUGUUUGCAAGCCCAAGAUCUUCGGUGGCCUGGGUGUGCUCAAUCUUGAGAAAUUUGCGAUCGCCCUUCGUCUUCGCUGGCUUUGGUUCGAAUGGGCUGACCCUCCAAAAACUUGGAUGGGGAUGGAAACGCCCUGUACUGAUAUUGACAGAGAUCUUUUUUCAGCAUCCACGAUUGUGACCGUUGGUGAUGGCAAAAAAGCAAAAUUCUGGGAGUCAUCUUGGCUCAAUGGCCUCCGACCUAAAGAUAUCGCUCCUAAAAUCUUCGAAAUAUCCAAAAAGAAGGCAUGUUUGGUUUGUAAGGCUCUUGACAACAAUUUCUGGGUCCGGCAAAUUGACAUUUCACAGGGGCUCACUUUGGCACAUAUCCAGGAGUUUACGGUCUUAUGGGAAUUGGUUACUGAAGUUGCUCUCAAUCCGGAUAGGAAGGACACCAUUUCCUGGAAAUUCACUUCCAGUGGUGAAUAUUCGACGGCUACAGCGUACAUGACACAAUUUGAGGGCCUUGUUCUCAGCCCAACUGCUCCCACAACCUGGAAGAGUUGGGCUCCCCCAAAAUGCAAGGUCUUCACUUGGCUUAUCAUCCAAAACCGUGUGUGGACGGCGGAUCGAUUACAACGGCAAGGAUGGCCAAACUGUGGACUUUGUCCCUUAUGCAAACAAGUCCAAGAGUCCGCCUCCCAUCUCCUCUUCCAGUGUAGGUUCACUACCCGUGUCUGGCAUGCGGUGGUCGCCUGGCUCGGCAAGCAGGACCACUCGCCACUGAUUUGGCGCCAUGAAGACAUGGUUCAAGAUUGGUGGCUCAAGACGAUAAACUCUGAAGGGCACAUCAAGAAAGCCACUGCCUCUGUUCUGAUGCUUGUCAUGUGGAAAAUUUUGAAGGAGCGGAACGCAAGAGUCUUUCGCAACACGGCUUCACCGACCAUCAUUAUUGUUGCCAAGAUCAAAGAGGAGGCCCAUCUUUGGGCGUUGCCGGGGGCCAACCACCUGAGUGAGCUUAUGUCGCGAGAGUAA